rnacentral:misc_RNA from 1 species
AGAUUUUUAUUAUGGGAGGCACUGUAGCUCCCAGGUCGUCCAUCCGAAUUUUUUCAGACCGGGAGCUACAGACCUGCAGCUAAGGAACAUUGUGACAUAUUUGACCUAUACUAGGACAGAGUGUGGCGUUGACUUUAAGAAUCACGACAUAACAUUGGCUGUCCUCAACAUGGAAGACAUAAUACACGGACACCCAAAGAACUUUCAGAUUAAUCUGGGCUUCCAGUAUGAAGAAGAUUACCUAUAUUGUGAAGACAUGCGUGUUUGUGAUUUAUUGAAUUUAAAGGAUGUGUCGUCUCCAGUUUAUGUGUACAGCAAGAAACAAAUUGAGGCAAAUAUCAACAAAUACAAGACAGCCAUGAAGAAUUCAGGACGUAACAUUCAGCUUAGUUACUCCGUGAAGGCCAACAUGAAUCCCUCUAUUCUGGAGUUGAUGAGGAACCACGGCUUGUUUCUGACCUUGGUCAGUGGCCAUGAACUUCGUCUAGCUCUUGACCUUGGACAAGAACCUGGGAAGAUUGUCUUUAAUGGGAACGGCAAGAUGAAUUGGGAGGUAGAUCUUGCCUGUAGAUCGGGCGUCCUUCUGAACGUGGACAGUAUCUUCAAUAUGAGACAGACCAUAGAUGUCUGCAAAGCGGGGGGAUAUGUGGCAAAUGUGUUGUUCAGAAUAAAUCCGGACAUAAACCCGAAUGUUCACGGAUAUGUAUCGACUGGUCAAGAGGGAUCAAAAUUUGGAAUCUCUGCUGAUGAGCUUGAGGAGGUUCUGGAAAUGGCGACAACGUUCGAGAAAAUCCGAGUAGUCGGCCUGCAUUGUCAUAUUGGUUCCACUAUAAGAGAGCCGGAGAAAUUCAAACAGAGUACACGUGUACUUGUGGACCUUUUUAAUAAGCUAAGAAGCCGCUUCCCUGAUUUGUACGUCUUGAAUCUUGGCGGAGGAUUAUCAAUUCCAUACAAAUCUCAGAUAUCACUACCACAAAAAUGCAAACAGGUGGUUCAGUGCGAAAUCGACAAGAACGAUGAUCAAGAGAUAGCAAGAUUAUAUGACAAUCUUCUCACAUCAAAGUUAACUCUUUCCACCUUCCUUGAAGCAAUUAAACCUCUUCCUCGAGGAAAAGAGAUAUUUCUUAAACUACAGGAGCAGGUUCCUUCUGAGUGUCUUGUUCCCGAACCAAACGAUUUGCUUAGCUCUAUCAGCGAUAUCAUACCACCGGAAGCUAAAGUCAUUCUGGAACCUGGACGUUCAUUGGUCGGAAAUUCUGCUAUUCUGUUGUCACGUGUUCUAGGAACAAAAUUAUCCAAAAAGAAAAAAUGGUGCAAUGACAGAGGUAAUUCGGCCGUGUCUAUAUGGUGCCUAUCACCAUGUCGAGUUAGCAGAACCUAGCAGAGCCGCUCAUCUCCAAAACGCCAGCGACCAAUCAAAAUUGGUUUGGGACGUUGUUGGUCCUGUAUGCGAAAGUGCUGAUUUUAUUGGAAAGGAUCGGCUAUUAUUUACACCACAUGAAGGUUGCAGCAUUGCAGUGUUUGACACUGGCGCUUAUUGCAGCAGCAUGGGGUCAAACUACAACAUGAGGGUACGACCCGCGGAGUUGCUUGUUGAUGGUGAGAAGGUGAAGGUCAUACGUAGGAGCGAGACUUUCGAGGACAUGAUGAAAUUAUACACGAACUACUACUGUUUUUCGCAAUAAUAAUUAAACUAAGAUUUAAAUUUCCUUUCAAUAAAUCAUUCACUGGU